ACAUCACCAAGAUUUCACAUUUCAUUGAACAGUACCUGGAAAUAUUCCUGAUUGUCUAGUUUCUGAUGUCACUCACAUCCAAGGCUUCAUCUGUGUCAUCCUCUCACAUCUUUGAUAAUAAGUCCAACUUUUUUGCCCAUUUUUAGUUGUGGCAUUAGAUUUAUACAGAUAUACAAUGGUGGACUGUUUGCAGAAUAAACCAGAAUUUGGCUGAUGGGCCAGCCCAGGAUUCAGUCAAUGGUCGGGCCGACGACUGCGCCUUUGAGCUGAGUCUCUGCCAGCCCACUGGUGAAUAUUUCGAUGUCGUUGACGAUUGUAGACGCUGGCCAGGAGGACGGUGUUGGUGGAUGAGAUGCGCAACGAUCCCUAAUUCCCCAAAGUCACCCUGUAGACGGACCAGUUUGCAUGUCCAUCCCGCUCCAAGGUCACGGAGAUCAUUACGCAAAAGUGUCAUGGAGUGGUGUAGAUGUCAUGGGUUGGGUGAGAACGACACGUGUUGCAUCAUUAUCAAGCAGACCCAUCCCCAGCAACGUCAACUUGCAGAAGGAAAGAAAAUUUGCCUUCACUUUCGAAGGUCACGGAGAUCAUUACUUAAAAUGUGUCAUGUGGUGUAAAGGUUGGGUGAGAACGGGACUUGUCGCAUCAUUAUCAAGCAGGUUCAAUAGCCGCAAGGCUUAGAAGGGGAAUGGUGAGAAAAAAUCGUAUAAAAGGAGAGAGAAAAGGCGAAGGAAAAUCAGUCGAGUGUGAAUCUCCGGCACGGCAACAGUUGCAGUGACCUCUGUCACUAAGUGCCUUCUUCAUCGAAUUACCAAAUUCGCUAUCAUGGUGGUGCUGCAAUUUGCUAGUGGUGUUUUAUCGUUGAUGGCUGUGCUGACCACUGGUGUACCGAUGUCUCCUGGGUAUGGCGGAUACCAAACCGCAACUCCGCCGACUCCCACACAACAACAACAUACGCAACAAUCGAUUACUAAACCACCAAGGCUCCAGAGUACUACCACAACUUAUAAUGCCCCGAGCUACAACAAGGCAUCAACUGCAUUGCCCUAUCACUGCAUUCCUCAUCGUGUAAACGAUUCGCAAUAAUG
rnacentral:lncRNA from 1 species